CCGCGCGCGCGUCCUUAUCUGUCACGCGCACGCACACACGUCCGCCUCCACGUUCCCAUAAUUCUGCGCGGUGGGCGGGCUCUCUUCUCGCGUCAUUUCCGGCUCAUUCCGGUUUCGCCGAGAUGGUUCCCCCGGUGCAGGUGUCGCCGCUCAUCAAGUUCACCAGGUAUUCGGCCCUGCUGGUGGGGAUGCUCUACGGGAAGAAGCGGUAUGACUACUUAAAGCCUGUUGCUGAAGAGGAAAGGAGAAUAGAAAAUGAAGAGAAAAAGAAGCGUGAAGAAUUGGAACGAAUUGCGAAAGAACUGGCAGAAGCCAGUGAAGACUCUAUACUGAAAUGAACAAAUUGCAUUGGACCUCAUUUUCAUCUUCAGCAAAAUCUGAAGCCUUGAAUUAGCUAUAUUCCUGCUUUCUUCACUCCAAGGUGUGGCUAAUGUGCUGAGAAUGACGCAGCUGAGCAAAACUUUACUUUUGCUGUUAACUCACUGCAGAGAGGCAUUCUAUUUAGAUAACCACUGUAAAUGUAGAUGAAUUCCCUUGCUUUCAAUAAACAUACAUUGAACAUA